AUGUUUCUGAAGCUGGUGUCAGAGCCUUGGAAACAUCAGUGUCAGGAUAUAAUUCACUGUACACUGCCACAACAAAACAAACGCCACAGACGGAAGCAAAAUAUGUUUGUGAUUCUACAGAAUAUGGAAAUAAUACACAUGGAAAAUGGAAAUCUUCCUAGCCAUCUGGAACCUGAGCAUUUGCCAUCAAUAUUAGAUCCAGAAGCACCGAAGCUAGCUAGCAUUUUGCCACUGCUUUCAACGAGGCCAGGAAUCACACACAGCCACAAGUGCUCAGAAGGGGAAGCGCAGCGCUGGAGGGGCGGAAGGACUCCCUCUCUGCUCUCAAGAGAUCUGCUGCCUCUGAAACGUGCUGCCCCGUCUGAUAAGUGAGACCUCAUUUCUUUGUCCCUGGAUGGAUGCCCUAGCAUGUCACAUUAGUAAAAUGCAUGUUGUUUGGAUGAACCCACCUCCUCAAAAGAUCAAGGUGAGCCUGUACCACUAACCAAUUCCCCUUACAGUUUAU
rnacentral:lncRNA from 1 species